rnacentral:rRNA from 1 species
AUUGAACGCUGGCGGCAUGCCUUACACAUGCAAGUCGAACGGCAGCACGGGGCAACCUGGUGGCGAGUGGCGAACGGGUGAGUAAUGCAUCGGAACGUGCCAUUGAGUGGGGGAUAACGUAGCGAAAGUUGCGCUAAUACCGCAUAUUCUGUGAGCAGGAAAGCAGGGGGACCGCAAGGCCUUGAGCUCUUUGAGCGGCCGAUGUCAGAUUAGCUAGUUGGUGAGGUAACGGCUUACCAAGGCGACGAUCUGUAGCGGGUCUGAGAGGAUGAUCCGCCACACUGGAACUGAGACACGGUCCAGACUCCUACGGGAGGCAGCAGUGGGGAAUUUUGGACAAUGGGCGCAAGCCUGAUCCAGCCAUGCCGCGUGAGUGAAGAAGGCC